rnacentral:rRNA from 1 species
UCUCCGUUGGUGAACCAGCGGAGGGAUCAUUACCGAGUUUACAACUCCCAAACCCCUGUGAACAUACCUAUAAUUUGCCUCGGCGGACUCAACGACGGUGCUCCGAGAAAUCGGUCGCCGCUCGCUGCCAGAGGAACCCCAAACUCUAUGUAUUCUUGUGGAUCUUCUGAGUAAAACAAAACAAAUAAAUCAAAACUUUCAACAACGGAUCUCUUGGUUCUGGCAUCGAUGAAGAACGCAGCGAAAUGCGAUAAGUAAUGUGAAUUGCAGAAUUCAGUGAAUCAUCGAAUCUUUGAACGCACAUUGCGCCCGCCAGUAUUCUGGCGGGCAUGCCUGUUCGAGCGUCAUUUCAACCCUCAAGCCCCCGGGCUUGGUGUUGGGGAUCGGCGAUAGUCGCCGUCCCCCAAAUCUAGUGGCGGUCUCGCUGUAGCCUCCAUUGCGUAGUAGCUAACACCUCGCAACUGGAACGCGGCGCGGCCAAGCCGUUAAACCCCCAACUUCUGAAUGUUGACCUCGGAUCAGGUAGGAAUACCCGCUGAACUUAA